GCCUCGGUGGUGUAGUGGUAGAGCACGCGUCCCAUGCAUGAAUCAAACGCGAGUUCGAUUCCCAGCUGAGGCC